UCUGGUGACAGGGGAACUGUAGGUCUGAAGAAAUCACAGGGGAUGUCUCUGGCUCAGCCACUGGAGAAGGUGUAGCCUGGGUUGCAGAGGGAGCCAGCCUGCUGCACAUGUCAGACAAUGAGAAGACCACCAAGGACAGCAACAGACGGCAUGAAACCCAGCUGUGCCAACCAGAAGAGGUGCAUUUGGAGUAGCUGCAGAGCUGAGAGGCAGGGCUACCCAAGGCCUUUGGAGCCCAAACGAUCAUGAGUUAAUGCAGGACGCCAUCCACUUCUGACCUUGGGCUAGGCUUUGAGUUGACUGUGACUGUGCCCUGGUGCCUCUUUUUUGAAACUUCCAGAGAGCUUAUGGCCACAGAAGAGCCUCAUAAGGACAUCUAUUCACUCCCAUCUACUUAUAAAGAGUGAUCUUGUACUGAAGGAUAGAUGGAGAGCGCAAUCUGUCCUGAAGCUGUUGUCUGAACUUCAAAGAUGUGUAGGAUGUCAUAGGUCCACAUGGCAGUGGAUAUAUUAGCACAUGUCUGUGGAAGCCAGACAACAACCCUGGGCAUGCUUAGGCACUAUCUACCUUUUCUUCUCCUACCGUUGGAAUAAGACAGGGUUUCUCACCGUG